rnacentral:misc_RNA from 1 species
GUAGGUGAACCUGCGGAAGGAUCAUUAUUGAAAUAAACCUGAUGAGUUGCUGCUGGUUCUCCAGGGAGCAUGUGCACACUUGUCAUCUUUAUAUCUCCACCUGUGCACCUUUUGUAGACCUGGAUAUCUCUCUGAAUGCUAGUCGUUCAGGAUUGAGGACUGAUGUUAUGUCUCUCCUUACAUUUCCAGGCCUAUGUUUCUUCAUAUACCCCAAUGUAUGUCAUCGAAUGUAAUCAAUGGCCUUUGUGCCUAUAAACCUAUACAACUUUCAGCAACGGAUCUCUUGGCUCUC